CAUGUCCUAUUAAACUUGUAUGAAAUCUAUCUAUCUAUCUAUCUAUCUAUCUAUCUAUGCACUAUAAAAAACAAAAGAAUAGAUAAAAUACAAUCGAUUUCUACCCACUUUAUCUCUUGCCCCUUUGACAUUCUUUACUAAACAGAUCUUCGAGCAUCUUCAAAAGUUUUUUCUAAAAUGUACUCUCUAAAUCAUCAUUGAAGAGUCAUUUUCUAUAUCUUUGUAUUCUCUAAAUUUUUUAUAUAUCUUGUGCGUAGUCAAAGUGUCAUCCUCGCUCUCCAUCUUUGGUUAGCAAAGCUAGAAAUCCAAAAUAGAGGAUAUCUAUAUUUAAAUAUCUAAAAUAAAGAGGCUAUUGGAGGGGGUUUUUUCAUCAAAAUAUCUAUUUCUGUAAAUUAUAAAAAAUAAUCUCUUGAAAAUGCUCUUAUACAUGAAAGCCAUCCAACCAUAUGUAAUGGGUGGGCCUAGCUUGUUACGGUUGAUAACCUAUGUCACACCCUGGCUUUUAAAAUAAGACCAGAGUCGUCAUAUGUGUGCCCAGGAAGUCCACACAUAUAACAAAAGAAUAGAAAUAUCAGAAUCAAUGUUAUAUAUAGCGGAAAAACAUAUUUAUAAUAACACUUACAAAACAUCAGA
rnacentral:lncRNA from 1 species